rnacentral:rRNA from 1 species
GACGAACGCUGGCGGCGUGCUUAACACAUGCAAGUCGAACGGAAAGGCCCUGCUCUUGUGCGGUGCUCGAGUGGCGAACGGGUGAGUAACACGCGAGUAACCUGCCCUUGACUUUGGGAUAACUUCAGGAAACUCGGGCUAAUACCGGAUAGGAGCUCCUGCUGCACGGUGGGGGUUGGAAAGAUUCGGCGGUUGGGGAUGGACUCGCGGCUUAUCAGCUAGUUGGUGGGGUAGUGGCUUACCAAGGCUACGACGGAUAGCCGGCCUGAGAGGGUGACCGGCCACAAUGGGACUAAGAUACGGCCCAGACGCCAACGGGAGGCAGAAGUGGGGAAUAUUGCGCAGUGGGCGGAAGCCUGAUACAGCAACGCCGCGUGCGGGAUGACGGCCUUCGGGUUAUAAACCGCUUUCGCCUGUAACGAGGCGUGAGUGACGGUAAUGGAUAAAGAAGCACCGGCUAACUACGUG